rnacentral:rRNA from 1 species
UACGUAGGAGGCAAGCGUUGUCCGGAAUUACUGGGCGUAAAGCGCGUGUAGGUGGCCAUGUAGGUCCGCUGUGAAAACUUGAGGCUCAACCUCAAGCUGUCGGCGGAAACCCCAUGGCUAGAGUCCGGAAGAGGAGAGUGGAAUUCCUGGUGUAGCGGUGAAAUGCGCAGAUAUCAGGAAGAACACCAAUGGCGAAGGCAGCUCUCUGGGACGGUACUGACACUGAGACGCGAAAGCGUGGGGAGCGAACAGG